rnacentral:rRNA from 1 species
GAUGAACGCUGGCGGCGUGCUUAACACAUGCAAGUCGAACGAAGAUGCCGGAGUGCUUGCACUUUGGCAGACUGAGUGGCGGACGGGUGAGUAACGCGUGGGUAACCUGCCUUAUACAGGGGGAUAACAGUUGGAAACGACUGCUAAUACCGCAUAAGCGCACGGUAUCGCAUGAUACAGUGUGAAAAACUCCGGUGGUAUAAGAUGGACCCGCGUCUGAUUAGCUUGUUGGUGAGGUAACGGCCCACCAAGGCGACGAUCAGUAGCCGGCCUGAGAGGGUGAACGGCCACAUUGGGACUGAGACACGGGCCCAAAACUCCUACGGGAGGCAGCAGUGGGGAAUAUUGCACAAUGGGGGAAACCCUGAUGCAGCGACGCCGCGUGAGCGAUGAAGGCCUCGGUCGUAAAGCUCUGUCCUCAAGGAAGAUAAUGACGGUACUUGAGGAGGAAGCCCCGGCUAACUACGUG